GACGAACGCUGGUGGCGUGCUUAACACAUGCAAGUCGAACGGUGAAGCGCUUGCCUUUUUGGUGGGUGUGGAUGAGUGGCGAACGGGUGAGUAACACGUGAGUAACCUGCCCUCUUCUUCUGGAUAACCUCAUGAAAGUGGGGCUAAUACGGGGUAUUCCGGGUCUGUCGCAUGGCGGGUUUGGGAAAGAUUGCGCCUUUGGGUGUUUUCGGUGGGGGAUGGGCUCGCGGCCUGUCAGCUUGUUGGCGGGGUGAUGGCCUACCAAGGCGGUGACGGGUAGCCGGCCUGAGAGGGUGGACGGCCACACUGGGACUGAGACACGGCCCAGACUCGUGCGGGAGGCAGCAGUGGGGAAUAUUGCACAAUGGGCGCAAGCCGGAUGCAGCGACGCCGCGUGAGGGAUGGAGGCCUUCGGGUUGUGAACCUCUUUCGCCAGUGAAGCAGGCCUGCUCCUGUGUGGGUGGGUUGACGGUAGCUGGAUAAGAAGCGCCGGCUAACUACGUG
rnacentral:rRNA from 1 species